GAAAAGGCUUUGAACGGAAAGAGUACUGUCACAGGAAAUGUCAGAGAGAGCAGGUCCAGGCUGAAAACCUGCUUCGUGGAGUGAGACAGGAAGUGCAUCCGGGAGCUGGCUGUGUGAAUAAAGUAGCAUGGCACGCUGGUUUGCGUUAUCACCGGCUGUGUAUACAGCAUAAGUGUCAGCAUCUAUGCUCUCACAGGAGUGGAACCGCGGAAAAUUUUUCGUCUCCUGG
rfam:Clostridiales bacterium 41_12_two_minus Ley3_66761_scaffold_1147, whole genome shotgun sequence.